rnacentral:misc_RNA from 1 species
UGACAAUUUUCGAAAUACGUUGAGGAAUAAAGACACAGCUUAUGCUAACUUUCCUACUCCAUUCAUUAAUAGAUAUACUAUUAGAAAUUUAUUUAUUUUCUUAGGAAAAUUUGGCAUUCAGAAUAUAGGGUUUAGAGAAUUUUUGGUACAGAUUGAAUUUUCUUGGGAUUCUAUUGGCAUGAUGAAUUAAAAGCGGAACAUAAGUUUGGUAUACAUGUAUGAUACAUAUCUAGUAUUAAGGAAAGUUAGGAUGGCUACAGUUUGGACAAUUUAUUACUCUUUUGUGUGUUGGAGUAUACCGUAAUUUAGAAAAAACUGUCACAAGUCCCCAAGUCGUGUAUCAGUUAACAUAAACUCAAAGCUGAACUUCUUCAAAUUAAAUCUUCUAAUAUUCAUAAAUACAUAUGUAACACAUACAUUAUGUUUAAUCUUCUGAAAUAUCUAUUCGCCAGAACAUAUCGUUGGUUUCUUAGAAAAGUGACUCAAGCAAAAAGAUGGAAAAUUAUUCAUUA